AUUCUGUGUCCAGGACUUCGGGCCCUCUGUGAGCCUCUGUCCGCCAAGGCGAUGGAGCUGUGUUUGGAGUCCCUCGUGAGUACAACACUCCACUAUUGUGCCUGUGUGCACGCUGUGCCAUGGAUAUGUGCGCCCCUUUUAUUUGGGUACACAACCAGCUAUGUUUUGUGUGUACACCACUGGAGUUAUACGUGGGUAGGGGUGCACAAUGUGCAGGCUUCUGGAAUGUGAGUGUAGGUCUCCUUGUGUGCAAAAACCACCUACUAUGUGCAUCGGUUUGAAAAGACCAUAGUGUGUGUUUGUACACCAAUGUGUGUAUGUGUGCCCCACCUGAGGUGUUUCUGUGCAUGCAAAGGCUGCGUGUGCGCCCCUGUGUGUGUGCGCACCCUUUUGUGUGCAUACACCCUGCUGUGUGUGCCGGUGCGCACAUCCCCAGGGCCGAAGCGUGAGAGUGGCCCCGGUGUGUCCCGGCGGCGCUGCUUGGCUCUCUCGCCUCACUUUGAAUGCUUACCGUCUGAAUCUCCCACUGCAGACGUCAGGCCACGUGGCCCUGAGUGUUCGUGGCGGCCGGGCCGGCUCAGGGAUCCCAGGCUGUGGCUCAGGGAUCCCAGGCUGUGGCUCUGGGAUCCCAGGCUGUGGCGCUGGGGCGGUGCGCUGGCCGUGGGUCGAGAGGUCGCUGCGCCCUGCAUUCCUGGCCGCGCGCGCACAGGCUGGAAUCCGUACAUUCCAUUCAUAACAUUCCCGCAAGCGAGGGGAGGAGACGCAAAGCCGGGGAGUGAGUGAUUAAAGAAAAGAAAGAAGGGCUUCUUGCAGCUCCGGGCUGUGUUUUUUCCUGCGCGCCCUGGCGCAGUCCCCGGCUCGGAAAGGCAGGAGCACGUGAGCGGUUUGCAGAGCAGCCCGGCCCAGCCGCGCGCCCGUGGCCGGAGGCUCCAUUUACCCUCCGCGGAGGGCGCUGUGCGGCGGCACUUAAGCGGCAGCUUCCUCUCUCCCAGGCGGCCUUUGUGGCUGUGGCCGGGACAGGGAAAAGCUGCCCAGGCCAAGAGGGCGGGGGCGUCAGGGGCAGCCAGCGCCGCCUUUGCGCAACUGAAGCGGAUGAAGCCGCCUGCUCUCAGGUCUUCUAAGGAGAAGGUCUUUUUAUCACUCCCAUUUUACAGAUGAGGAAAUCGAGGCUCAGAGACAGGAAGUAGCUUGUGCCAUUCAUUAGGGUCCCAGGCCUGGUACCUCCUCCCGUUGAUGGCAGUACCGAUUGCCUUUGCAAGGACCCAGCCCUUCACCGUGUGUUUCUGCUCUCCUGACCCCCACAUCUCCCUUAGCUCAGUGACACUCUCCUCUGGGACCGUCCUCUUCAUCCUCCUGCAUUUUCCAGCGCCCCUUCUCUUAGCACUGUGUGUGCCGUCCCACUGCCUCCCCCGCUGAGCUAGGCCUUCCCCCAGGACAGGUCCUGUGAACCACCUGUGCGAGGUCAGUGGGCAGCAUGGAUCCUAGAUGUAGGUGGGCAGUGGGGCAGGCGGGGGUCUAUCUGGGGGACGUCCUGACAUAUGGAGGGAUGGAGCAUGGCUUUCCUUGAGACAGAGCCGUGAAAACAGGAGAGAAGAGGGAGAAUCUGACCUGGCACCCAGGUGGGCAGGGAGGCCCAUGGGAUGGGGGACGACCAACUUGUCUGGGACAAAUGGUGCGAGACACUCUGCCACGACAACUCUGGCCACAUCCCAGAAUUGGGCAAGGGCAACAUGGAGAAGGCGGCUUGAUUCCAGGUGCCACUGGCCCUGGCCAGAGGGGUAUGGCAGCAACUUCCAGCAGGUAUGAUGAUGUCACUGCUCCGACAGCCAAUGGGCAGGGGCCAUGACGUCACCACUCUGACAGCAUGUGUUCCUGGGCUUUAAAAGUUCCUCCAAAGUUGGUUAAGGGAUACAGACAUACAGUUAGGUAGAAGGAACAAGUGUUAUAAGUUAACAAUAUUUUCUUGUAUAUUUCAGUAUAGCUAAAAGAGAUUUGUAAUGUUCCCAACAGAAAGAAAAGACACAUGUUUAAGGUCUUAUAUAUCCCAGUUACCUUGAUUUGAUCAUUGCACAUUGUAUAUGUGUAUCAGAAUAUCACAUGUACCCCCAAAAUAUGUACAACC
rnacentral:lncRNA from 1 species